UACGUAGGGGGCAAGCGUUGUCCGGAUUUACUGGGCGUAAAGCGCGUGUAGGCGGCGCGUCAAGUCGGGUGUGAAAGCCCGGGGCUCAACCCCGGGAUGCCGCUCGAAACUGGCGUGCUUGAGGGCGGAAGAGGGGAGUGGAAUUCCUGGUGUAGCGGUGAAAUGCGCAGAUAUCGGGAAGAACACCCGUGGCGAAGGCGGCUCUCUGGGACGGUACUGACGCUGAGACGCGAAAGCGUGGGGAGCGAACAGG
rnacentral:rRNA from 1 species